AGGACAAAAUGGCUACGAAGGAGUCACAAUAACGGUGGACAAAAAAUGUCGACAUCUUUCAGAAGGAUCUGUUGUUGAUCCCCAUCCAUCUUGAGGUCCACUGGUCGCUGGUCAGUGUUGACAUUCCUCGUCGAGCCAUCACCUACUUUGACUCUCAGAGGACUUUGAACAGGCGUUGCCCAAAGCACAUUUACAAAUACCUGCAAGCUGAAGCCAUCAAAAAAGACCAGCAAGACUUCCUGACAGGAUGGACCGGCUUUUUCAAAAUGAAUGUGGGCCGCCAGAACAAUGACAGUGACUGUGGGGCUUUUGUGUUACAGUACUGCAAGUGUCUGGCACUCGGGCAGCAGUUCAACUUUGGGCAGCAAGACAUGCCCCGCCUCAGAAGACAGAUGUACAAAGAACUGUGUCACUGCAAGCUUAUGGUGUGACCCUUCAUUUCCAUCGUUUGUGGCCAGCUACACCUGCUCCGUCCCUGAAGUCUAACAGGAUGGAGGGACAGUGUUAAAACAAGAGGAAAAUGGGAGCAAGUGACUGGGGGAAAAUAAACAUUACAAACCUAACCUUUUCUCUUCCACCAUGCAGAGAAAUUCUUCUAGAUGCGAACAUUGUUUGACUUUAUUUUUUCAGGUUCUGCUUCCCUCGGUUUGUUUGAAAAACACUGAUUUAAAUAUCUGUCAUAGUUCUUUGUGGUUGUGAGAGGCCAAGACUAGCUGUCUUAUUUUGGGGAUGUGCUAGUUAUCCGUGUAAAGAUAGUCCACUAGUUUUCUGGUUGGAGAGGGAGCACUGAGGUACGGAAAAGCCUGCGUCCAGGAGGUCUGAAGGGAAGUCCCACAGUGGAGUGUGUUUAGAGGGCUGCAGUGACUUUUCCAUCCAGCCAGUCAUUACUUGACAUCUUUGCAAAUGAAACGUACCCCAUGCAAUGGCCACCGUUGUGGACGAGCUGUUCAGCACAAAAUGUUUGCCAGUGUAUUACAGUGUGAAACUUCCAUGUACAAUAUUUUUAACCGUUUCCUGCGGUCUGCUCAGCUGGAGUUUAGUGGGAAUCCAUGGUUAUGUUGGCAGGUAAAACUUUUUUCUGGUGAAUCUCAGGGAAAGUUGGAUUUCUGCAGCAUCCAUGAGUCCCGCCUCAUGCUGGCCCACACAGUAGAAACUUUCCCCCUCGAUCGCUUUCAAGUCAUAAACCUUGAAAGCGAUUGAACUGAAAUGGCUCAAAGAAGUAUAUUUACAAUGCAUUUAAUUUUUAAUGUGUUUCAAUCUGUCAGUAAUUGUGGUAACAUGUUUGAGUUUCAUAAAAGAUCAAGAAAAAAGACGAUUUGUUUUUUUUUCUUGUUAUUUUUUUUGUUUUUGUUUAGAUUUUCUGGUUAGUAUAAAAGCCAUUUUGUUGAGGACCACAAAUACACACCAGGCAUAUGUCCACAGUGGAGAUACAGUGCUCUCUUAUUCUUUUUAUAACAAAAGAAAACUUGUGAAUAGUUGUUUUUGGCUUUGCUUUUUUUUUUUUCCAAGAAGGAGCUGAUGCAAGAGAGCUGUUUUAUAUAUCUUCUACAAUACGUUAUGACUGCUAAAAAUAAAAAUAUGUGGCAAACGUG